rnacentral:lncRNA from 1 species
AUCACAGCCUGGAGUAGUCCGUUGAACUUCUUGAAGCUCAACAUGAUAGCCGGCAUGUCCUCCUCCGCAGGCAGGAUCGUCGUCCGGAGAUGGAACACUCUGCCAAAUUGUUCCAUACGCCCACAGAAAGAAGACAAUAAAUCAUCAGUGCAAUGUUACUAUGAAGUGCCUCACAGAGUUGUAGUUGGGUUCAGAGUUGCAGUUAAACAAAAGGCAUGAAAGACAAAAAAAAAAAAGGUGCACAAAAAAAACCCUUGUUGAAUCAGCAUCAGAUUACUAUAGAAAGGAUGAAAUGUGAUGCGUUUCCUGCAUUCACAGAUACGAGGAGGAUGAUGGUUGAUUUCCUACAGUAGCUAAUGUGAAACAUGAGUUCAGUGUGACUGUUUCCAUAUGUGCAAACCCUACGCUAUGAUGGUGUAAAAUAUCAAUGAUGUGCCACUGUUCUAGUUUUCAGAAUUUAUAUGCCAUGUUUGUCACUCUCUAAGUUUGGCUGGGAUCUCUUACAUUUCUUAACUCACAACACAAAGAACUGGAGAUGAUUGCUCACAGGGCAAAACAGAAAAAGCUCCAAGAGAUCCAAUGCUGGAUAGCCAGCUUCAUUUCAAUUUGCUUUUCUUUCCACCUUGUAUAUAUGUACAGUUUUUACAGUUACACUACUUCAAAAGUUUACAAAUAUACGCAGUAGGAAGACCUACUGUUUCUCUUAAAAAAACACUGACAGAGCAAGUGAUGAUAUCAGAAAAGCACUUACCCUUCUUUUUGGCCGAAACCUGAGCCCGGAACAGUGGAUAUUCUGGUUGCUUCAAGGAGCUUGAGGCAGUAGAAAACAUCUGGUUCUUUGCCAGCGCUUUUGGCUGUAUCGAUAGCUCUUUUCGGUAGGCAUAUUUGAAAAUAUGAGUACAUAGCUCCUGCAUUAGAGAAGAUUCUUUUUUCCUUCUAUUGACAAAAAAAGGCACAUUUUGGAAAUAUUUCUGUCACCUUCUGUGAAAUUACAAACAACAUUUUGGCAACUAUUGAAACCGUCUGUCAUUAUUUGUGCCCUCCUCCUCAAAGAAUCGAGGAUAGACUUGCUGCAACAUCAUUUGUGAGCAGAACAUAUUCAGUAUCCCGUUAAAAAAUUUCCUUCGAAAUACAGACAGUAAGAAAUGUGAAGAUCAUAAUGUUUAACCUUUCAGUAGCAAACUUCAAGUACGAGAUAUCUCCAGGUUUAGGAUGGUUCAUCAUUAGCCCCAUCUGAUAAUAACAGAUUCAGAACCAUUGUACAGCUUUUUUUUUCUGAAAACUUUAUAUAAACACGAUAGGUUGCAGAGAAACAGGGGGGGUGGGGGGGGGGGGGGGGAGAUAAAAGAAAAGAGGAAAAGAUGCAGAGACCAUUGUACAACUUCUUAAUAUAGCUGGAACAGAAUUAGUUUCAGUAACUCCCCCUAUGUUGAAUGAAGUAAAAAACACCGCCUCUGGUCAUGGAUAAGUUCCCCUGAAAGACAUGUGUAAUUCCUUGCAGGCAUUUAUAAAUUAUAAUGUAAAGAGGGCAUGCCUAUCUUUUCUGAGUCCAGCCUAAAUAGGUUUCCAGUCAUCAAGAAUUUGAAUAAUGGUCAUGGUUCUUAUUCCCCCCCCCCCCCCCCCCCCCCCCCCCCCUCCCUCCGUACAGAAAUAUUAUCAAGAAAAGAGCAAAGCAAUGAAGUUUGUUUCAGUUACGAAGAUCUGCCCAGGAACGUUUGGACUCAGCGCAAUUGAUGCAACCUUGUAGAUCUCAUCCACUGUCUGUGAGAAUAAGAUCAAUUAUAUCAUGAGUCAUAUAUUUAAGAAACUAGAUAUGUUGCAUUGUCCAAAUUUCAGGGUAAAUUCCUGUACGUUAGAAUUAACUGGAGACCUUACCUAAGUGACUAGACUUCACAUGUUCAAUUGUCAGCAUUAAUUAAACACUAUCAUACAGUUCUGAGAUUACUAGUAGUUGUAAAUGGAUGGCAUGAUUAUGAAUAUCCAACUCCGCCAUAUUCAAUUUGACAAUGUCCUGGGCAUUCACUUGAAACACCUCUCACCCAGACUUCUCAUCGCAUGAGCUCAAAUUGACAAAUACCUGGAGAGAAACUUUUUUCCUUCCCCUGGAAUUUUAUAGGUGUAAAUACUAGGUGUCGGUGGCUGGUGGUUGUGCAGGCAUUUCUUUUUCACGCAGUUUGUCGAAAGCUGCAAAUAACACAUUCAGAGCUGGAGCCUUUCAUUUUCUUGGUCUCCCAGCUGUGUUCUUUGCUGUCCUUGUCAGGUUCUCAACCUGCAACUGUUGGGUUAUCUUAUCAGCUAGUGGCUAAUGCAUCCUACUAAAAUGCUGCCUAUUGGUAUGGCUUUUGUGAACUGUGAUGUCUCUGUCUGAUGAAAAUGGCUUUGCCUGAUGUCAUGGCUAAACCUUGUUCCAUUAACGAAAUCACAGGUACAAGAUCCAAGAGGUUCUGAAAAGCGUUACUCCAAAGGAGAACGAAAUGCUGAAAACAAAGGUAGAUUCAGGCCUCCAACCUGAACAACAGAACAGAUCAUACAUCACUCCAACAAAUCUACCAGCAAGACUUCAACAGAACGCAGUACUUAAGCAUUUGCAAUUUCUCCUAUGGUGCAUCAGGAUCAUGUUAUCUUGUGUGUUUGAUUGAAUCUUAUACAGCUGAAUCCACUUCAACUGGGAUACAUUCAUACAAGAAAAAAGGCGGCAUACAGAGAACGUGGGAAUGCGGCAAUUGCAACUAGAAAUCCAGCAUUUUGCCAGAUCAGUGCACAUUGCUACAACCGAAUAUGAACAGAUUACUUACAACAACAAGAUAUAGCUUUGAUUAGCUGAGAGAAAAUGGAACCGUGGUUCGGUACAAUCAUAGGGGAUGAAACAACCAAUUAAUCUCAAGUAAUGAAAUACACUAGUUUGCAAGGCAUACUCUCACUUCUGUAGAUACCCUUGCGGAUAGUCGUCGGAUAUGUUUUCACCUUCCCUCAGCUUUGAUUAGCUGAGAGAAAACCCUGCUCAUCGACACGUCGGAGAGGUCGUGGUCAGGCUCGUGUGAAGCCCCAGCUUCUGCCAUAGUCAUGCUGAUGCUCUCAAGAGCACCCACAUGCUGAACCUGCGACGAGAGGUCAACGAUCCGGUUCAUGCUGUUCACGUCUGAUACUGUUGAAGAAUCUGCAUCUUGGAGCUGCAGGACAUACUCCAGGUUCCAUAGGACAUCUCCCAUCGACGGCCGCUCCACACCGUAGUCUGCCAGGCACUUCUCUACUGUUUCACCAAACUUCCUUAGAGAAUCCGGCCUGAUCGUACUGGAAAGUCUCUGAUCAACGAUCUGAUGCAACUCUCCCCUCUUCUGCCAUUUCAUUCCCCACUCUGCUAGAUUCACCAUUUCCCUCGGGAGCGUAGGGUCAAUCACCGGCCUCGCGCAAAGCACCUCCAGCAUGACAACACCAAAGGAAUAGACAUCUGACUUCUCAGUCAGCUGCUGCCUUCGGAAAUAUUCAGGGUCAAGAUACCCAAAGCUACCCUUCACUGCAGUGCUGACAUGAGUUUGAUCAAGCUCAGGCCCAGUCUUUGAUAGCCCAAAGUCAGCAACUUUCGCUAGGAAAUUCUCAUCAAGCAAGAUGUUUGCAGACUUGACAUCACGGUGGAUAAUGGCCUUUGCAGAACCAGUAUGAAGAUAGUGUAACCCCCUUGCAGCUCCAAUGCAGAUCUCCAAGCGCUGCUUCCAGUUGAGUGAUGGGUUGUCUGAACCAUAUAGGUGGCUUUUGACGGUCCCAUUCUCCAUAUAUUCGUAUACCAAGAUCAUCUCAUUCCUUUCAUCACAGUACCCAAUCAGAGACACCAGAUGGCGGUGACGCAAACGUGAAAGGAGUUCAAUCUCUGUGCGGAACUCGUUAAGACCUUGCUGAGACUUGGGGUUUCCUCGUUUCACUGCAACCUUCGUGUCAUCCCUCAACACUCCCUUGUAGACUUUCCCAAAACCUCCAACUCCAAUGACCCAGUUCUCGUCAAAAUUGUUUGUUGCUUCUUGGAGAACAUUGAAGGCAAAGCGAUAUCCAAGGCUUCCAUUCAGACCUGAUGUGAGAGUAGUACCAUAAGAAGUUCUACUUCCUGUACUGAGAGAUGUGAGACCAUUAAUAGAGAAAGGCAUCCAAGUCUUGGAGUGCUGCUUGUCAUCAGUCUUUUUCCUCCGGCAAAGCAGUACCAAAAGAAGGACAAUUACCAAAAGUCCAAUAACCCCAAUGACUGAACCAAUGAUAACAGCCAAAAUUUUCUUUGAACCAGAAGAUCCAACAGUAAAAGCAGAACCCGAGCCACUGCCCAUCUUCAUAACCUCAAGGCCAUUCAGAAUCCCAUCAGGGAAUGCGUUGUUCAAUGUAGAUGGACCAAUGCUGAUGCUGAGCUUGCUAGAUGCAUCAUUAGAUGAAAGAACCACAUCAACAUAGAUGGCUGUAGCCAAUUGAUUCAUUGAUUGCUCUGAGAGAUCAAGGUCAUGUUGUGCAAAGAAACCCCCCACAUAUGCAUUGAAGUAGAGUUGGUUAAGUGCCUUACUGACAAUAUCACAGAAGUGAAAUCUUAUUAAAUAGCUGAAGCCUGCAUCUACAUCAAACUGCCAUGUCAUGUUGAAAAGUGCGUUGGAUGUAUUUGAAGCUGCCAGUUCUGUAGCUGUACUGUAGACAACAUCAGGGGCAGUGAGUGACGAUGCUCCACCAUUCUUGUACUUGAUUGUCUUGCCAUAAACAACCUUUUUGGUCACACUAGGGUUCAUUAUGAACUUCUGAUCAUUCAGCCAUGUCCUUGAGAGGGUAUCAUUGUUGGGAGUGACCUUCGGACCACCCAUAUUGACGCGAUACACCGUCUCCAACGACUGCGUAGACAAACCGCUGUACUGCUGCACGGGGUUGACCAUCUGGGCAACAUCAGCUAUGAGAUCAUCCGGGACAGAAACCACUUCGAUUGCAUUGACGAAUGCGAUCCCGUUGGACGGCUUGAAGGAGAUGAUAAGCUGGUCCCGUGUGAUGUUCAAAGAGUAUUCCUUGAACAGCGGCGCGGUCUUGUCCGGCUGCUGGAAGUCGCUAAGCAGAAGCACAUCCUGGGUCGACACGGUGAACUUGGCGGUGGAGAGAUCGUAACUCUGGUAGAUGAAAGGAAAGAAGUAGAGACGGACGAAAUGGCGGCCUUGCUUGUUGAUAGGGAAGGUAUAGGACGACGGGCCGGUGAAUAUGCGGGCGGUCUGGUAGAGCGCCGAGUUGUCGAACGAGGACACCCCGUUGGCCGAGGUGCCGGCGAGGAUUUCUUGAGGUGUGGAGACCGUCAACGGAGCAGCCCCAUCGGCAGCGAAGUUUCUCUCGCUGACCGUGGUGCCCUUAGCAGAGCCGCAGUUGACGAGGUAGCUGUCGGCGGGCUUGAACUGAUCUACUAGUUGUGCUCUGCAGAUUAUCCCGGCAGACGAGCAGACACAGAAAAGGAGGAGCAAGGCUGCGACUUGCAACUUCCUCCUCCUCCCCGGCAUGGCGGCGCUGACCUGAAAGAAGAACAAGAGCGGGGUGCAAUGUGUUUCAGAUGCCAUGUCUAAGCAAGAAGCUUGAAAUCCAGAGAGGGAAAAAGGUGGAUCUGGAAACAAGAGUUACGAACUGGGGGAAGAUUAAGGAGAUGCAACGGGAAGCUGAAGGGCGCGCGGGAUCUGUUGGUGGGGUGAUGGGAGGAGAAACGGUCGGGAACGAAAGAAUGGAAGGGGGGAUAGAUACCUGCUGAGGUGGAGGCGCUCGCACGAGGAGGAAGACGAGCGACGGAGCGAAGGGGCUGGCAGCGGGACGGGGUGGCGGCGCUCGCUCGAGGAGGAAGAAGAGCGACGGGGUUGGGCCGCCAGGGGAGGGAAGGUUGCCGAGCAAAGCAAAUAAAAGGAAAAAAGUUUAUACUGUCCUGUUUCCCUCAGCCAGCCGACAGAGAAAAAAAUCUAGGAGGUUAGGAAACCACCGAUGAACAUCCGUUUUAGGACUUGUUUGCAAGGUUUUUGUGUGUUCUUGGCGACGGCAGCCUGACGAAGGCUCUAUCCCGUUCUGGCAUGGCUAUCAUGGUCUACACUCCAUGGAGUUUGUGGAUCUCACGGCUUGUAAAUUCGUGAUUUUGAUCAUGUUCCUCAUCAGUUCGGCUAUGAUUCAAUGGUUCGAUAACCUGUCUAGCGAGGGGUGUGUUCUCGGCCACCGCGCGUUCAACGAUCUUAAGUUCUCACCUGCUGAGGUAGAUGGCUCGUGUGGCUUACCCUACAAGGUUAGUCCAGGUUAUGCAGGUCUGGUCUUCUACUGUUUCAUUACCAGAGAUUUGGAGAAAUAUUAAGAUGCGAUUGGCACGACUAGAGAACUUGGCUUCAAAGAUUUUUGAUGUAACUUUCGAUUUAAUUUUUCGUAAUCUUUGCCGAAAUCUUGGGUAGAGAAUAAAGUCAGAUUUUCUAAAAAAAACAAAGCAAAGCAAAUAAAAAGUGAGAGAUAAAUGAGCUGAGAGCUCCCACCCUAGGCCUAACCGAGAAAAAAUAGUUUAAUAAUUUAUGUGAUGUAAAAUAUUUGUGACUAGUUUAUACAGUCGGGCCGAAAAUGUGAGGUUUUGUUAGCAAAUUAGCAAAAAUUGGGAGCUACUGAGACGAGCCCCAAUAACCGUGGUUUCUUGAAAUUUACCCUGUUUAUUAUGUCAAAUAUCCAUGUGUGUAUCUAUAUCUGAGGCGUCUGAAUUUUUAAGUAAAAGAUUUAAUUCUUGAUCGAUAGUAUCAAAACCACUCACUUCUCUCUCGUUGCGAAUUUUAAAACACAAUCUAGAUCCAACAACUGAACAAUAACUUAUUUCUAACUAAAAAUCAUGCGACUUAGGUAUAACAAGCCUAAAUAUCUAUUUUGUUAAAUAUCUAGAUGUUUCUGGAAAAAAAUAUAACUAUGUAUUUACUCUUACAAAGACCUAGCUUGAUAACUUGGCCGCUUGGGGCGCUGCAGUAGGUCAGUCCGCAGCGGGGACGAGCAAGAAAAAAAAUACGCAGUGGCUCCUCAGCACGGAGGCGAGUCUGACCUUCUCCUUGGCAACACGUGGGUUGAGAAUCCGGAAAUUCAGCUGAACAGAGGUGAGAAAUGAUCCAUGAAGGUGGCACAUCUCAGGGAGAGAAAUUGGGCACAAUCGAGUCCUAUCUCAGAAGAACUCAUAACCUGACACCGCUGCUGAAUUAGUUUAUAUGCGUUUUUUGCACAAGACACCAAUCCAGUGAGCUUCCUCGGAUUCGUCCCACUCCCACGCGGACAGGUAAUGUUGCGGGGGUGGCGAAGAGGAUGAGGCUGGCCGGGAGCCUGUAUCUCUUGCGAAGAAGUUGAAUCGCACGCUUGUGCGGCGUGCCUUGGUCCAUGAUGGUAGCGAGCGGCGGUGGCGAUGGAGGGAGUGCCGAGGAGACGGCGGCGGUGGCGGUGGAGGGAGUGAAGAGAAGCCCGAGGAGAUGGUGGCGAGCAGCCGGCGCGGAAGAAGGAAUUAAAAAAAAAAUACGGCGACGGCGGCCAGUGAGAUCGGCUUUGGACGCAACUGCAAGAAGAAGUUAGGGAUGCUUUUGGGCGAUGGUACCGGCAAACGCUUGUUAUCAGUCCUCUCUUAAUUAAGAUGUUUUUCUUUUGAAAAACGAAUGAAGAAGAAGUUAGGACAGAGGCGCCGGAAAGUGGCAGCUGGGCACGUUCAUUUAUGCCUUUUUGUAUUUCUGUCCUGACAAAUGACCCAUGUGCAACGGGGGGCAACCACUGUCCAACAAGCAACGCGGUAGCACAGUGGAGUGGAGUAUUAUUUGCUCUCUUUUUUUUCUUUAUUUAAAGCUUUUUUUAACAUUACCCGAUGGAGAAAAUUAUCAAACUUAACGAAUAAAAAUGCAUCCGUAAUUAGCGCCGUGACGUGUGCCUAAUUACGCGCAUUACGAUGUCCAUUUCGAACUCAGGGACCGUUGUCUAUGUACACAUUGUUUGUUUGUUUGUUUAUUGAGUGAUGGUCAUGUUGUUUAACUAAAUAUAAAUAUGGGAUUUGCUAUUUCUAAGGCAACCGAGAAAUAGCUACUAUUUGUAAAUCGAUGCUAACAACCGUUCGAUCCACUUACCAGAGGCGGCUGCAUGUGUAUUCACGUGUAUUCAUCAGAUGAAUGCACAAGAUUUUGAGAAAAAAAAAUUAUAUACAUAUAUUAGUACUAGUAUUAGUCAUUGGGCCCCUAGUCCACUAGUCCGUAGACCUCAGGUCAAGGCCCAGCAGCCCCAUGUCCGCGACUCUAGUAUGCCUCUGCGUGACGGUUUCGUUCCUCGAUCAAUCGAUCGGCACGCCGCACGCAAACGCCGCCAGACCCUAGCGAGCAGAGCAGCGGACGUCAGAGGCGAGGCCUUGAUUGCGGCGACCGCCGGCUCCGCGCGACCCAGUGCAGCGGAGCAAGGAUUGUCUGAUCGUGGCGUGGCCACGAGCACUAUUACGUUGUUUACAGGCUUCUUAAGUUGGUGUUGCUUCUACCAGUAGCUACUGCUAGUGUUGAAAGGGUUUUCUCCUCAAUGAACUAUGUGAAGAAUAAGCUAAGAAACAAAAUGGGUGAUGAUUACUUGAACAAUUGUUUGGUUACAUUUAUUGAAAGAAAGAGAAUUCUUCAGUCAAGUUACGGUACGGAUGAGGAUGUCAUCAAUCGCUUCCAACAAGGCGAUCGCAAAGUUAUAUUGUAAUUUUUAAGAUGAGGAUAUAUCAUUAAUUCUUCAAUCAAGAGGUACUCCCUCAAUGCUAGUUCAUAUUGUAGUAUUGAUACUUAUUAUGGAACUAUAGUCAUAGCUCAUAUAUAUUUGUAACCUGGUUAAAAAAUAGUAAUUGUCAUGCUGCUUUGUCCAAUGCUAUCCACAAUUUCAUUAUCAGUUGUUUUAUUUCAUAAAGUCCACUGGAUUUUUUUUGCAAUGAAUACCCAGUGUCUAGAACCUGGAGCCGCCACUGCCAAUCACUGAUAUUCGUGCAAGAUUUAUACAAUUAAAUUAAAAUGAUGAGAAAAAUCAUAAUUGAAUGGUCAUGAUCGUUGACUGAGAAAUAAUUAUUUACUAGUUGAGUGCCCGUACAUUGCUACGGAACGAUAAGAAAAUAUAUUUGUAUAGGCAUUUCGAUCACAUGGUUAUUUUAUUUCUUAAACGUAGUGGCCAAUAAAAAUAUGUCUAGUGAAAAUCAAACCCGGUGUCAUUAUCUUGCUUCCUUCCUAUCUCUCGCCAUCGUUGAUUCUCUUACUUUUAGAAGUUUCCAUUCAACACCAGUGGAGUAUGGUGAGCCAAACAUGGUGUACAGGAUGAUCAGUAUAAUAAUGGAGAGCACCACCCAAAUCACUUCACUUUGUUUUGGUGUACCAUCAGGAAUUUGACUUAUGUAAUAUGGUAGUAAUGAAACAAUCACUGCCCAAAACUGGAUAACAAGCAAUACUCUUGCAGCCCGAAGCCAUUUCCAAGAUCCACCCUAAGUUUGCAUUUUAUCAGCACUAUCCUUAGUUUUACUGUCAUCCAAUGAUUUUCCCUUGGUUUUACUGUCAGCAAGAGCAGCAGCAACUAUUGGGGGGGGGGGGGGGGGGGGGGUGCCAAAAGCAGUGCAAAAGGAAUCAUAUCCACACCAACUGAAACGAAUUUGCUUGGAGCUGCAAGGAAAUAGAGGAAAAAUGAUUGAUGGAACUUCACGGGCAGGUUAUUCACAGAACGUACCACCCCUUCAAUUAACCUGAAAUGGAAAAAAAUAUGGUGAGAUAAACAUAAACAAUGUGCUGACCACGUGCUUUAUUAAAUGCAGAACAUGCAUCUUUUUCUAUAAAAAUGAAAGAAAUGCUUUUCAGUACAAUAAGCCUGUUAUUUUUCUAUAAAUCAAGCCUCCACUACUAUUAUAUUAUUUGGACAAACAAAUCCAGAGUUCCUUAAAAGUCCAGUUAAAAUCAAAGUCUGUUUAGCCAACAUGAAUAUCUUUGUUGUGUCAGUCAGUUACAGAACAAGCUACAAAAAUGCGCAAAGACAUAACUAAGCAAUAGAUGAACAAUUGUUGGUUUCAUUACACAAGAUCCUUCUUUUGGAUAUUCUCCCUAACAUUAGGAUUAGGAUCCUGAAGCAAAAUAAAGAAAUCACUCAACCAAAUAAAAGUUAGCUAUUUGCAAUCAGUAUUUGUAACUCAACUUGCUGUUGACAUACAGGUCGCUGUUGCACGCUUCAGGAAAUUUCCCCUGCAUUUGCCCCAAAAGGAGUCUUCCGAUUUCUUUCUUAGAACAAUUGAAGAAAUAUAUUCAGCCAAUCCACAUACCUGCAAAUUAUACAGCCACCUCGGGUAUUUCUGUCCACAUCCGGUGUUUGAUAUCCAUGACAAAGCUAACAUCAAAUGUCUCGUCCUCCUUAAGAAAUUUCUCAAUAGAAUAAACCUACUGAAAUAAAAAUUAUGGAACUCUCAAAUUUAUUUAUUUGUCUUUUUAGAACCUGGAUCCCAAUUCACCCUACCCUGUAGCAUUCAGUUGGUUAAGUUGCGGUCUUAUCUUCCAAAGAGAGAGAGAGAGAGAACAAUCCAGAUAUCACAAUCUAUAUUCUCCGUUUUUACAUUUCACACCAGCCGUGAAUGGCAAAAGGAAAACUGCAUACACCAUUAAUUAAUAUCAGAGCAAAAGAGUAUUUCUGCCUGUAAUGCUAACUUUGCACAGAGCAAAGAACCAUUGGCGUCACAUCAGGAAACUGCAACCUGCAUCAAUCUUUUGCACAAAUAUAUAUAGAAAAAAAAACACAUAUACAGGGGGAAUCCGUCAUGCUACCUUACCAGAGAUGUGGAUUGAGGAGGUAUCCGGCGGUGAGGCAGACACAAGCACUCGGGCGGAUGGUAAGGCAGAUGCUGGCACUCUGUCCGGUCGCCAUGAGCACAAACCAAUCUUCCAGCCUGAAGAAAUCGAUCCUCUCCACUUUCGUUCCUUAUAAAAUCACAAGCAUCUCUAAGAGUACAAAUAUACUACUCAUUGCAAGGAAGUAGGAUCAGUCUUUGGCUAAAUAAUUUCCUCUAGACAAUGUAGGGAGUAUUAACACAGACUUAGACUUAGGCAGUGGACGCCAUAUCCUCAAAAAAAAAAUGCAAGAUUUCGAUGGGCACCUUCCCCUCGAACCUCCUUCUAUGCUGCUGCAGGUGGCAGCGGCUGCAAGGGAGGCGUUGCGGGAUACCAGCAGGCGUCGUCAGCGGCGGCGAUGCAGGCAGGCGGAUGCGGAUGCGGAUGCGGGGAGCACCCAGAUCGGUUCGGUUUUGAUUCGGGCCGGCUGGGCCUGCGAGGAAGCGGGAGGGAGGCGGCGCUGCGGAUCAAGAGGAGGCAGGGAGGAAGAGGCAGGCGGCGGCGGCGCGUCAUCGCGAGGAAGGCGAAGGGAGGGAGGGAGGCGGCAGCGCCGGCGUGUCCUCGCGAGGAAGGCGGAGGGACGAAUGGGGCAGCAGCACGGAUGAGGAUGAGGGGGCGUUGCAGGGAAGUCUGCGGCGCUGGAAGGGGGCGGUGGAGGGAGGGAGGACGAUGCAGAUCGUGAGGAAGGGGAUGGAGGCGUCGUCCGGAUGGGAUCGAUGCGGAUGGAAAUGAAGGUGGAGCUAAUCGCGGGAUUCUGCGCAUGCGUGGAGGUGGGAGGAGGCCGGUGGGAACCGGUUUUUUGGACGAUGAGACUAUCACGCGGACGCAACUGCAAAUUAAGUAAUACGUAGGAAAGAUAAAUCGGCUCCACUGCACUGGAUGUCUACAUGUGUACGUAGCAAGAUCGGUCGGCACGUACCAGGGGUUUGAUAAUGACACUGGUUAACAGAAAAACAACGACCAUCCCAUUCCCAUGUGAGAUGGAGCAAAAUUAGGCAGUUUCUUAAUUAGCCUGGCAACUGUCUUGCUGUCCGUCCGUCCAAGUUAAUUAGCAUGCAUGAGAGUUCGGUGGAGGACAGUUAGACUAAUACCAACCGACAGCGACUCGACUCCAUAUAAGUUUCAGAAAAAUAAAAGAGGCAUCUUCGUCAACACCGAUUGACAACGGGCCAUGCACACGGCCCACGGGCCGGCGGACAUAAAUUUGGAGUAGAUACGCAAAUUGGCAUUCUUGUUUGAAGGUGUUGGGAAGGCUCGCCAAACGUCAUCUCUGGUAUGAUUCGGUAUUAUUUCUAUGUGUCUAGACUCAAUAAAACUGAUAGACGUUAUCACGUUUGAUGAUUUAGCAAUGCAAUGAUAAAGCAUCGAUCUCAGCACUGCUUUGCUUCAUUUGCUUGUGAAAUUCAGACAUGUGUGUUGUGUACUCUCCAUAUAUUUAUGUUAAUUCAUAUCAUUUUAUCGCCCAAAUUGCCAAGCGUAGCAAACAUCUAAAACAUAAUGUAUUUCGGAAGGGAUUAAGUAGGUGUGUCAGCAUGACAGCAUGCAUAGUGUCAACAGCUCCACCAUCGCCAUCAUGGUGACAAUCACCUCCAUAUCUUUCUACAGUAAGAUAUGAAGCUCAAUCAACAACGGCGAUCAAGCUCUUAAUUAUAUCCACCAUGCAAGCAAUAACAAGGAGUAUUAAUUAAUCGAUGGAGCCAAGAGUUGCACAGUAUGAUUGUCUCAUAAAUUAUGUUUUCCCUAUACAUAUCAAGCACAGCAACCAGUUUAGUUUCUUCAAGAUAGUUACAGCUUACAGCUAAAUUUUUUAACUUUUAAUCGCUGGUGGAAAAUAGCAGCAAUAUAUCAUGUCGAUGAUGACCUCGUUGUUUCCCUCUUCACAUCACAGCCUGGAGUAGUCUUGGUAUUGCUCCAUGAAUGAGUCGUUGAACUUCUUGAAGCUCGACAUGAUCGCCGGCAUGUCUUCCUCUGCAGGCAGGAUCGUCGUCCGGAGAUGGAACACCCUGCCAAAUUGUUCCAUGCGCCCACAGAAAGAAGGAACAAAUUAAAUCAUCAGUGCAAUGUGACUAUCAAGCGCCUCACAGAGUUGUAGUCGGGUUCGGAGUUACAGUUAAACAAUAAGCAUGAAAGAAAAAGAAAAAAAACCAAAGGUACUCAUAAAAACCCUUGUUGAAUCAGCGUCAGAUUACUAUAGAAAGGAUGAAAUGCGAUAGCUUUCCUACAUUCACAGAUAUGAGGAGGAUGAUGGUUGAUUUUCUACGGUAGCUAAUGCGAAACGUGCAAACCCUACUCUAUCAUGGUGUACAAUAUCAAUGAUGUGCCACUGUUCUAGUUUUCAGAAUUUAUAUGCCAUGUUUGUCACUCUCUAAGUUUGGCUGGGAUCUCUUACAUUUCUUAACUCAUAACAACACAAAGAACUGGAGAUGAUUGCUCAUAGGGAAAAACAGAAAAAGCUCCAAGACAUCCAAUGCUGGAUAGCCAGCUUCAUUUCAAUUUGCUUUUCUUUCCCCCUUGUAUAUAUGUACACAGUACACUACUUCAAAAGUUUAUAAAUAUACACAGUACGAAGACCUGCUGUUUCUCUUAAGAAAACACAGAUAGAGCAAUUGAUGAUAUCAGCAAAGUACUUACCCUUCUUUUUGGCCGAAACCUGAGCCUGGAACAGUGGAUAUUCCGGUUGCUUCAAGAAGCUUGAGGCAGUAGAAAACAUCAGGUUCUUUGCCAGCACUUUUGGCUGUAUCGAUAGCUCUUUUCGGUAGGCGUAUUUGGGGAAAUGAGUACAUAGCUCCUGCAACAACAUAGAGCAUUAGAGAAGCUUCUUCUUUUUUUUCCUUCUAUUGACAAAAAAAGCACAUUUUGGAAAUAUUUCUGUCACCUUCUGUGAAAUUACAAACAACAUUUUGGCAGCUAUUGAAACCGUCUGUCAUUAUCUGUGCCCUCCUCCUCAAAGAAUCAAGGAUAGACUUGCUGCAACAUCAUUUGUGAGCAGAACAAAUUGAGUAUCCCGUUAAGAAAAAUUCCUUCGGAAUGCAGACAAUAGGAAAUGUGAAGAUCGUAAUGUUAAACCUUUCAGUAGCAAAUUUCAAGUACGAGAUAUCUCCAGGUUUAGGAGGGUUCAUCAUUAGCCCCAUCUGAAAAUAACAGAUUCAGAGCAAUUGUACAACUUAAUAUAGCUGAAACAGAAUCAGUUUCAAGAACUCCCCCUAUGUUAGAAUGAAGUAAGAAACACCGCCUCUGGUCACGGAUAAGUUCCGUUAAAAAAAACACAUGUGUAAUUCCUUGAAGGCAUAUACAGGGACAAAGGCAGAUAAAAAUGACUAUGGGGCCAUUUAUAUUGUCUUUGGGUUCAUUCUUGACAAAUAAACAGUAAUUAUCACUAUUUAACAAAGGAUUAGCUAAAUCCAUUGGUGUCAAGUGACACCAGUGCCAAUGAACCAGCUCUGUCCCAGGGCAUAUAUAAUUCAAAGAGGGCGUGCCUAUCUUUUCUGGGUCUAGUCUAAAUAGGUUUCCAGUCAUCGAGAAUUUUGAAUAAUGGUCAUGGAUUGUCAUCCCACCCCCACUCCCCCCCCCCCCCACCCCCUUCCGUACAGAAAUAACAUCAGGAAAAGAACAAAGCAUUGAAGUUUGUUUCACUUACGAAGAUCUGCCCAGGAACGUUUGGACUUAGCGCAAUUGAUGCAACCUUGUAGAUCUCAUCCACUGUCUGUGAGAAUAAGAACAAUUAUAUCAUGACUCAUAUAUUUUAAAAACUAGAUAUGUUGCAUUGUCGAAACUUCAGGGUAAAUUCAUGUACGUUAGAAUUUACUGGAAACCUUAUUUAAGUGACUAGACUUAACAUGUUCAAUUGUCAGCAUUUGUUAAACACUAUCCUACAAUUCUGACAUUGCUAGUAGUUGUAAAUGAAUGGCAUGAUUGUGAACAUACAACUCCAACAUAUUUUGUUUAUUACCUUAUAAUUCUGAGAGAUCAACACCACUCCAUCAACAGGAAUAUGUUGGUGCAAUGAAUAUAAUUAAAACAACCUGGUUAGCAGGUAGGUCUACUGUUUUAUACUGCACACUGCAAUAUAUAUACAACUGAACGUCGACUAAACAAAAGUCAACAGACUCCAGCACGCCAAGCGGUUCUGCUGUAGAUCUCCUUAAUAUUUUGGCAGUAGGCCAUGAAGAAUGUAACAUCUUUUUCAUACUGCAACUAAUUUUGUAUGGCUGCAUCCCCUUUUACAUAGUGAGGAAAUUGUACGAAACUGCAGGAGGAGCCUCUCCUGCUGUUUUCCCCGGUCAAAAAAAAAAUUGUACGAAACCUGUUGCGAGCAAUCAAAAUUCUAUGUUGACAUGUUACCUUGGGAGGAAUAUUAGUCAUUUCGAAGUACCCACCCCGCUGUCCACACUCCCCCCAAUAACCUUUGGAGACAGUAUGGAAAGAAAUCAGCUGGACUUCUCUGCUUAUUGGAGGACCCAUGUCGAAUAAAACCUAGAGCAUGUUGAGAAAGGGCAUGUCAGCACAGACACUAUUUCAGGAAAAUAUCUGAGAAACCUUCAGAGCAGCACAGUAGGGGCAUAAUCUCAAGUAAGAGAUUUUCAACAUGAAGAAGCUCUCAGGUACUUGUUAAUAUGUGGUACUUAUGGGUAAUUUACUGCACUCAUUUGUUUUUAGGCUAAUCACUUGAAAACUAUAGGCUCGAGUGAAAUGGUAAUCAUGAGAGACCAUCAUUGGACAGAAAUCCGACGUACCUUUCUUGCACUUAUAAAGGGGCGUUCAUCUUGAUAAAUGUUCUGUUGAUAAACUUCAUCUGCAAGCAGAACUAAGUUUUCCUGAUAACAAAAAUUCAGAAGUUCCCUGAUAUUUGCUUCACUUAGGCAUUGGCCAGUGGGGUUUCCAGGAUUAAUAAUCACCAUUGCUCGAACCUGAGUUGGAGAAAACAAUAUCAUCAGAGCUGAAUGCAAAAGGUAUACAUUUAUAAUGAAAAAUUAUGGGAAGCAUAAAUGCCAUGAUCAUGAAAGCAACAUGGACAGGACAACAAGAAUCUGAAACAACUUAUACUCAUCAAGUGGAACAUUUUCUACAUGUUGGGUGAUCAGCAACAUAGUGUUCUUUCUUCUAGCUGAAUAUUAUUUUUCUGCCCAAGAGUUGGCAUAGGUUUUAGGUUAGCCACUACUUAUAUGGCUGCACAGCUACUUACCAUUAGUGUUUCCAAUGAGUAUAGUAUGUAAGGAAUUACCAAGUGCAAGAAAUACGGAAGAAGGAUAAACGUCUGAAUUAUCAUAAAACACUUACAGUCAUCCCCUUGGACCGUGCAGCUGCUACUGAUUGCCGGGUAGUUACAAUGUCGAGUCCCCAGUUAGCCUCUUCUUCUAAGUAAUAUGGGACAAGCGAGCCACCAAAGAGAGAAAUGGCUGCAGAAUAAAGCGGGUAUUGUGGAACAGGGACCAAAAUCUGCCAAGAAAUAUACACUAGUCUUUAGUAGGACGGGAGCGGGAUAUUAUCUGGGGAAAGAUACGGCUCUUCAAGGUGAUAACCAUACCCCGUCUCUCUCGUUUCUGAUAAUGGCGUUGAGCAUUUGCAUCACACCUUUGCUGGCACCAUCAGUCAGGUAAAUAAGCUCCGGAUCACUGCAAUAAGUAAGACCAUACAAUAUAGGUGUGAGGAUCACCAGAAAACCUGUGACGCCCAACAAGGUGCAAUGUUUUCAUCAGUGCUCUUGUUCUGUCUGACCUCGGAUACCCGUCACGCCUCUGAAUGAACUCGGCAACUUCCUUCCUAACUCCGGGGAUACCUCGGGAGUCACUGUAGGCACCUAAUCAGAUAGAUUACAAGCAGUGUGAGUCAAAACACGCAUAUGUCCUUAAGCCUACAAAAGCAUACCAUAGAAUUGUAUAAAAUUGGAUAUCUUAUUUCUAUUAUGGGAGGAAAAUAAAAAAAUGACAAAUUUUCAUUUAUUCACCACUUGUAGAGGCAGGCAAACAGGAACAAAACCCUUGAAACUAGAAGAAAAUUUGAGAACACAGUUCUGCGCAUGAACAAAACCUUACAAAAGGUUGGACUUUUGCAGGAACAGAAUAGGUUACCUAAACCACCGGGCGCCAUGGAGAGGUAGUGCUUGGCCCGGGCGAUGGCAUCGGCGGGGAAGAUGAGGCCGACGUUGGGAUCAUCGAGCAGGAACGGAGCCUGGCACAGCGCCACCACCUGCAGCAAUCACAUCACACGGGAUAAGUAUUAAACGCCACCAAAUCUCCAAAACCCUAUGUCAGGGAACAAGAAGAGAUUGAGAAGCGAGGAGGAAGGGGAUGGAUAGAUGAUGAACCUGGCGGGGGAAGGUGAGGGGCUUCUGGCCGAGGGCGUGCGGGUUGCCGACGUUGGUGAAGAUGAUCCGCUUGCCCUCCUUCUGGAGCUCGGAGGCGCGGAGGUAGAGCUCCCCGCGCACGGCGUACUGCACCUUCUUCACGUUCUCGUUCAGCUCCUCGUAGUCCAGCGCCUUCCUCCCCAUCAUCUUCUUCCUCUCCUUCUUAUCCCUCCGCCGCCGCCGCCGCCGCCUCUGCUCCGGCGGUAAGAAUCGAUCACCCGAGGAGAGAAAGGGAGCGAGAAGAGGAGGGGGUGGGGGUGGGUAGACAAGAAAGGGGAACCAAGAAACAGGGGAGCUGGUGGGGAUUUGUACUGUAAUGGCAGAGUGACGAGAUUCCUUGUCGCGUUGCUCCGCCGUGCUCGCCCCCGGAUUAAUCAAUCAACUGCGGAUAAUGUGGAGACGAGACGGCAUCCUCUCGUUCCAAAUUUCCUUUCUGCGCCGGCGAAUUUGGGUGGAAAUCGGGCGCGAAUUUUGGGUGGAGAUAAGAGGAUGAAUGGCGCCACUGGGUUGGGUUAUCGCCUUACCUGCGGUGGAGAAGACACGACGGCUUGGCUUCGCCUCUGCUUCUUCUGCUGCUGCUGCCUCUUGGCACCGGGAAGGUCAGGUCAGGUCAGCCAAAUAAUGCAGAAGCAAAGGAACACUUUUUCUUUGUCUCCAUUUGCCUUCGGACACACACAUGUAUGUAUGAACUGCUCUCCACAGGAAUGGCAAGAAAUGUGCCAGACUCACACAAAAAUGCAGGCAAUUUUUAUGAUAAGAUCCAAACAGAGGUACUGCUAGAACAUGUGUCUUGGUUUCAGAAAUGCAGCUUCCGGCUGCAGAGUGUUUCAGUAUCAGACACAGGGAACUGAACUGCUGAGAUGGCCUAGCAAAUCAGGCAAAAAGUUCAGAUCCUUAGCUUCUUAGAAGUUCAGAACUAUAGAUGGACAGAUCAUCUUAUUAGCUAUUGUGGUUAUUUUUACUUUUUGUAUCACUGUUUUCUCUUCAGAAUGAAUGGGUGACUAAUAAUAGGUUUAAUAGGUCAGGUCAGCCAAAUAAUGCAGAAGCAAAGGAACACUUUUUCUUUGUCCCCAUUUGCCUUCAGACACACACAUGUAAGUAUGAACUGCUCUCCACAGGAAUGGCAAGAAAUGUGCCAGAAUCACACAAAAAAUGCAGGCAAUUUUUAUGAGUAAAGAUCCAAACUUGCUGCUAGAACAUGUGUCUGUACUACUGCUAGAACAUGUGUCUUGGUUUCAGAAAUGUGAUCUGCUGCUGCAGAGUGUUUCAGUUUCAGAGACAGGAAAUUGAACCACUGAGGAAAUGCAAUAUAUGCAAAUCAGGCAAAGAGGUACAGAUUCUCAGAUUCUUAGAAGAUGAGAACUAUAGAUAGAUAGAUCAUCUUAUAAGCUAAUGUGGUGAUUUUUAUGUUGUAUCACAGUUUUCUUUUCAGAAUGGGUGACAGGCAAGUUCCUAACACCUUUGUCUGUGUGUGUGCUUUGUGUGUUCCAUUAUGUUGUCCCAAGCUUUACAGAUCAUGUACACUUCGGCACCAUUUUUAACACUUCCUUUGUUUUUCCUUCCUUCAGAGAAAAUUUUGCUAAGAAGACAUGAUCCCUGUGCCGGGUUAAUUACGAUCCUCAGACAUAUACAACGGGGCGAAUAGCGCGAUCAAAACAACAAUCCGUUCCACGGCGAUGACAUCAUCUGAGCAUUCAAGCAUAAGGUCUCCGAAGGGAUCGACGGUGAAUCACUUCUUGCUGCCGGGGAUCUGCACCCAUUGCAGCUGGAGCUGGAUCUCGCCGCUCUCGACGUUCUUGAGCCGCAGGAUCACGUCCUGGAUGAACCUCCCAUUCUUCCAACACAGCUGGCUCUCGUCGGCGAGGCAGUUCCGGUUGCUAGGCCGGAUGGACCGGAUGACGGUGCCGUUGCGCAUGUUCUCGGGGUCCAUGUUCAGAACUUCCAUCAAGGGUUCUACCUCGAUCUCCGCAUCUCCCAUUGGGUCAUCUCUGCUGAAAGUGUCCUUGUCAAACACCUCCUGUAGAUUUUCAACAGAAAAUAUUUGUCAGGUAGUAAUAAUACUUAAUUGACAUUCCUCUAUAAUUUACAGAUUAUUACAAGGGAAAUACAGCAUGGACAGAAAAGGUUACUCACAAGCUUGAUUGGUACAUUCGGAUUUGUGAUUGACAAGGUUAGCUCUUCAUGCCAAAUAGGGUUCACAGAUCUCUUCUUAACACUUGUCUUCAGCUUCUGCAAAUAUCAAUUCAAACAGGGCAUUAACUUAGAUGGGAUGAAAACAAUGCACUCAUCAGAUGAAAAAUCAUGAACAUAUAAAAAUAAAAAGGACACCAAUAGAAAAGGGGUUAAAAUGGCGACGAAGAUCGACCUGCUUGCCGAGGCGAAGGACAACAUAAGGAUCACUGCCUCUUGCGUCGCGGUAUGCAAGGUUGUAUCCACGCACCACCCGCACCUUCAAGAGGCCUACCAAUCCAUCCAUGCUUCUUUUUGCUUUUCUGGAUUUGAUUGUAUGUUGUUGUUUUUGGUUCCUGUGGGUUUACUUGUUUGAAACUAGUGGUAUUACAGACGAGAGGGGACAGAAUGCGAGACGAAGAAGCGCCUAAUCCAAUCCAAUUGAAUUAGGCGGCUUCUUACGUCCCGUUUUUUGCCUCUCAAAACUUAUGAACUUGUGUUUUGUUUGUUCUCUAUCACCAUAAAUAGUCUCAGACAUGAGUCUAAAAAGGAACAGUUUUGGGACAAGAGGAAAGAUGAGGUCUUUGUUAGCCUCAACCGUAGGAAUUGUGCUGACCAUUUCUUAUGUGGCCAGUAUUGGAUUGCUGCCAUUUUUGGACAUGUGGAAGAUCCCAUCAAUUGUUUCUUUCGCAUACGAAAAAUGUGUGUUGUGUUAUACAGAUUGGACUGGCCACCUUUUGCAUAUGCAAAAUGGUUACACUGAAAGUUGAAGACUCGAAGGUCUAAAAAGUACUAGUUUUCUUCUCUCUUCUUUUUUGGGAAAUGCUGAAAUGUAACAAGUCUAUGUACCAAGUGUACAUAGAGAUAACUUAAGCAGCAGAUGUGAAGAUAAAAAUAGACAAUGAAGCAGUAAAUUAAUGAUUUUAUGGUAGAGUAUGUGUAGGAGCAAAAACAAGCAAAACAUUUGGUCAAGUAGAGUCUGUUCUUUGUAUAUAUUCUCCUGCCAAGCUGCAACUACCAACUGCUCAGUUAAUUCCUCUUUAUCACUGCAAAAAAGUUGUGGAAUUCUUCAAGUCAUAUUCUACCGAUAUUGCAUUUUUCAUGCAUUUGUAGUGUCCAAUUCGAAACUCAUUCUCUUAAUGUCAUCGCGAAGCGCAACAAAUUGAAUACAUGUUGGUCAAGAUGGAAAUAUGUCAUUAUGCAGAAAAUUAAUGUCCCCGCCCUACACCUCUCGGUGUAUCUUGCACUCUAUGGCCACAUCUCUGCCCCCGGGCUUAAUGACCAAUGUGAAACCAAGUCUCGGGGAUGAUGGCAUCCAUGGGGUGCAUUCAGCGGUUGGGUUUCAGUAGGAGAGCGAAUUCCGAACAAUUCAAAUUUGGCUCUUCAUUUUGUUUAAUUGUUGUACUAGGUCGUCGACCCCUUCCAUUUUCCUUCUACUCCCCCCUCCCGGCUCGUCAUGAUGGCAGUACUCCAUCCAUCGUUUGAUAUUGUGACAUACUCCCUCUGAUCUUAAAUUAUUGUCGUUGUUUUAGUUUAAAUUUUAACUAAAACAACGACGGUAGUUUUGGAUCGGAGGGAGUACUAUAUUUUUUUACCCGACUUCCAAAAUUUCGGCCUAAAAUGUCAGGAUUAAUUACCUCGAGCAAAAUUCUCGAUAUCAUAAAUAACAAAUUAAUGGAGAGGUUGGUUCUUUAUCCAACAAAAAUUAGUAAGUUACACAUAUUUGGCUAAAAUGCAUUCACGUAUACACAUUACACAGCGAAAAAAUCAAAUCAACGCAUAAAUUACUUAACGAAGAACCAACACAGGAAUCAAAAUCAAAACACUCAGACUGAUGGACACAUCCUCCUGAUCAGGGCGAUCAAUAAAAAAAGAUUAAUCAAGGAUGGAUGAAUUCCGGCUAGGCGGCGGCGGCAGGGAUCUUGACCCACCGGAGCUGGAGCUGGACGAUCCCGGUGUCGACGUCCUUGAGCCUGACCAGCACCUCCUGCAACACCUGGCCUUCCUCCCAAACGAUCUGGCUCUCGUCGGCGAGGCAGCUCUUGGAAUGCGGCCUCACGGUGCGCACCACGGUGCCGCUCUUGAUGUCCUCCAGAUCCAUCCUCGCCAUCUGCAGCAACGGCUCCAGCUCCACCUCCGCCGUCCCCAUCGCGUCGUCCUUGCUCAUCCUGUCCUUGUCAUACACCUCCUAAUUUGCAAAAUCAAGAUCAAGAUCAUAAUUGAGAUUUCUCUGAUUGAUUGAUUGAUUGGGGAUUUACGAGCUUGAUUGGGGUGGAGGGGUCCUUGACGGCGAGGGUGAGGUCCUCGUUCCAGACGGGGUUGAUGGUGUUCCUGACGACGCUGGUCUUGAGCUUCUGGGAGUCGAGGUGGAGGACGACGUAAGGGUCGCUGCCGUCGGCGUCGCGCUGGACCAGGUUCACGCCCCAGAUCACGCGCACGCUCAGCACGCCGUCCGGCACCAGCGCCGCCGCCACCUCCGACGCCAUUGGUUUCGAUCUCUUGAUGUUCUUGUUCUUGAAUUUUGGUUUUGGGAGUAUGGAGAGACUGAGGGAGAGAGAGAGAGAGAGCGCGCCUGACUGAAUUUUGGUUCUUGUUCUUGAAUUUUGGUUCUUGGAAUGGACGUACGGGAGGACCUCAGGUUGGACGAUUCGCUCGCCGUGUCUUGUGGGGAACAACAAGAACAGGGGAUCUCUGCUAUUUCAGGGACGCACCAAAGCAUUCUGCUGUUUCAGGAACGCACCUGCGUGCCUGAUCUGGCCCAUAGACCGCUAUGCACAUGGACCAUCUCAUCGAAAUUCUCAAGUUACUGUAAACUAUUUCCGCACUAGUUUCAUCAAAAUUUUCGCAAGCUGUCGAAAUCAAACGCCUAGUGUUUGAUAGAGAGAAAAUGUAUAAGAAUAGAUAUGGUCUAGUGUUUUCGGUACAAUUUAAGCAUUGCUGUGGGUUGUGGUUGUGCCGUGCAAUAUACUUGAAUUUUGGAAUUUUUAUGUUUUGUAAGUUGUGUUUGUGUGUUACCUGAAAAAUGGUUGAAAACAUGUUGCUCAAUACUACAAUGUUGGCAUUCAUCUGUCAAAGGCUUACUUUUGGCGAAUUCGGAAGGCGUUUGUUGGUUUGAAACUUGAAAGAAUGUUUUGUUUUUCUUUUCGAAAAUUGAGGAUCAAUGCUACGUAUAGCACUAAUUAAUUUCCAUACGCCAUUAUCUUCAUACCUGGAGGAAGAGCCCAUAGGCCCAUACGCACAACUGUGUACAAUUGCAUAGACCAAAAACGAAUUUGGCAAUUUUAAGUUGGACGAACUUGAACAAGACUUGUUACUGGUAAAAAAAAAACUUGAACAAGACUUGUUCGUCAAGACAGGCCAACGCUGGCUACUGUUUCCUGUGGCGUGUGCCUUGGGAGUCGGGUCAUAUCUCUCCAUUAAUUCUUGGAGAAGAAGAAAAGCUUAAUUAGCUCGACGGGCAGCCCCAUAGCCCAUAGGAGUACAUAGAGAGAACCAAGGGGCGGCCUUUCUUCUUCCUCCUCCAUCAUCCUUGAGACGCCGAGCUCGAGAUCCAAGCUUGAGCAAUCAGUACACAAAUACUCGUAUCAAUCAAGCAAUCAAUGGCGUCGUCGCUCCGUUCCUUGCUCGGGAAGCUUCCGCUCCCCGCAAGCGGCAAGGGCAAGGCCGCCGCCGGCGCCGCCACCGUCGCCGCCGCCGCCGGUUUCUGGUACCUCAGAAACAACAACGUCGACCACGAGGUCGACAUCAGUACCAUGAGUACGUAUGCAUAAUGUAUCUUUCCAUCUUAAUUAAUUAUAACACAAUGUAUGCUUACAUAAUUGUAAUUAUGAAUUGCAGGCAGGGAGGAGAUGCAGGCUGCGGCAGCGGCGGUGGCCAUGAAGAGGAAGCUCGGGGCCGCGGAGGAUGCGGGGAACAAGGAGGAGGCCACGGCGGCGGCGACUGCGCAGAACGCCGGCAAGCCGGCGAAAGAGGCGGUCUAGCUAGUGUAGAUCGAGCUAUAAAUCUGUUGGUCAGUGGUUAGUUAAUUGAUCAAUGGCGGUUAAUUAGUUCUUAGUUGUGACCAAUCAAUUUAGCUCCUUUGCAAUUCCAUGUGACAGCAGUAAUCUUUGUUUACGAACGUAAUUUUUGCCCUUUUCUAAUCUUGGCUCAUUUGUUAUACUGGGCUGAGACAGUAGACCGAUUUCUCUGGGCUGAUUUUCUUACACCCGUGGGCUUUUCCCUGUGGCCUGCCAAGAUAACGCCUUUGCAGUACUCUCACAUCUUUUUCUCAGGAUUUCCUCCCUCUACAAAAAAAAAACCUCCCUAAGAAAAAGCUGCCUCAUCUGAUUUGACACAAUGGUAUCAACAAAACAUAUAUAUGAUGUGACGCAAGCAUUAUGAAAGCUUUUUAUUUGGAGCAGCAACGGAAAAUUAACAUUUAUGGAAACCCAAAGUGAAAAUGCAGCAUCAUGGAACCAAGUUCUUUACCAUCCAUCAUCCAUCAUUCAUUGGGCAGGCCAGCGCACAGGCCUGCUUUCAUCAAGGAGACAACACUCUGAGGGGCCCAAUUGGAUCCUGUUCCCAGGUCACAAGCACUUUUGACCUUCCGUCUUAUCUUAAGAUAUUCUCAUACCAUGAUUAGGUCAAAUUGAACCAAGCAAGCAUCUGCAUCCAACGCCUCCACAACCGCUCAAUAGUGUGUGUCCAUAGGCAGUCUAUUGAUCCCCUAGCUAGUCGUCAACUAAAUCAACUAUCAAUCAAUUCAUCCAAGAAAAGAAACCCGUCUUAAUCACCAAUCAUGUCUACCUCCUCGCGGGUUUAACGGAACACAACACGCUUUGGUGUUAGCUCACCACGAAAACGCACUCGGCCACGAGUGUGUCAAGUCUUCCUUGGCCACGCACUUCCCAUGCCGACGCCGCAUCCAUGACCCAGAUCAGGUCACGCUCCCCUCCCCAUUACUAUAUAUUGAUAAUCGCCGAUGCCCUCGUCGAUGUGAUCCCCGACGUGCUCAAUUACCAGAAAAGGAAUUACCAAAUUUAUUGCCAGAAAAGGAAUUACCAACAUGCAUGAGUGUCCCCUCUCCCAUUCCAUCAGACAUAUAUUUGAACACAAUAUUAAGUUUGUUUCUAAAUUGAUGAGAAAAUAAGCAAACCCAACUGCAAACAAAAAUGGUUUUAGCAAAAUAGGAUCGACACAAUUCAAUGCCAAGCCAACGUACACGUGGUGUCAUGAAUCUCAAUAAAUACUGGUGACCCAUAACGUGCCUAUCAAAUCAACACCUAAACUUGUCUGCCCCUUUUUGAGCCAGUUCAGUAUAUCUACCAAAUCAACCUCCAAUUGUCCAAUAAUAAACGCCUAUAAAGUAUGUGUACCGGAAGAAAGAAACAGCAGUUGUUCUUUAUUCAGCAAAGGGAGGCAACGCCAACAAAGGCCACCUUAUAACAAAGGCAUAGACAUGUGUCAGUUGCUCAUAAAAAAGAAGACGAAAAUAUAUACAUGUCUUCUGUGGUACACCUCCAUAUCAGCCAAGAUGUCCCCUAAUUGUUGUCUCUGCAUAUAUAAUUGUCAUAUCAUCCAAGAACAAGACUAAUUGUUGUCUCAUCAGUACGGCCAUGUCUCUAGGUAAGGCCAUGCUUUAUUAAGAAAUGGCUGCUCUCGUCCCCAUCCGCCAAAAUUACAUGUGGCCGUACCAAGAGCAGUGACAUCAUUAAUUCACUUACCCAUUUGUUUUCUAAUAAAAUAUAAAAAUAUUAUAUAUACACAUUAUCAUGCAUGAAUAUCCUAGCUUUUCCAUAAUUAAACCAAGCUAGCCACACCAUGCUUAAGAUAACUGGUUGCAUACAUGGAUACUAAUUCAUGCAUGCAUGUUUUUUGCAUCAUCAUAUCAAUCUCGGUAAGUGUACUGCUGAACAUUGCAACAAAAUUAUACAGCUACGUACACCAGCAUGUCCCUGAUCGAUUGAUAUAUAUCUGCUCAUCUUUUUCUUGCAAAUCAUAUAUAUAAGGGUAGGGAGGUGGGGCAAAAGCAAACAUAAUCAUUAAUUGCAGCUUAAUUUGCUAGAGUGUGUGACUAAUGCACUUGCAGAUAGCUGCUUUGGCAAUCGAUCCCUCUUCGAUACACCUCAUCGAUCGAUCAAGCGUUGAGGUGGCUCAGCAUCCAUGGCGGCAGCCCUCCGAUGCGAAUCUGACCCUGCCCUGGCGCUGCCACCGACGACGACUCCCCGCCCAUUGUCGCCGGCGGAUAGCUACUGCAUACACAAAAGAGUAUUAACUAUGUUGAUUGCUAAGUCUAUGUAAAUUUUACCUUAAUGAAUUGGGUAUAUAUGCUGAAUUACAUACCAGAUGUUCUGUUGAGGGACACGUGCCUGCUGAUGAUCCCUCAUCAUGAAGGAGGAAGAUGAUGAGCUGGUCUGGGCUUGGGCUUGGGUUUGGGCUUGAGCUUGAGCAUGGGCUUGGGCUUGGGUGUGGGCGUGCUGUUCCCACUGCACUUGCUGCUGCUGCUGCUGCUGCUGUUGCUGCCUGCUGGCUGCCUUCUGCCUCUCCACCAGCUGCACCAAAAAAGGAUCAGAUCAGCAACCGUCUUUGGUUAAGUAAGAAAUUGUGUAGUGUUUGGCAGCUUAAUUACCUCCUUCUGUAGAGCCUUGUUCUCCUCCUGCAGUGACCUCUCCUGCAGCACUCAACACCAUAUAUAUUAUGAGUUGGACAACUUUUUUUAGACAAAGUGGAGUUGACCAACUGAAAUUAGAUCAGAAUGCAAAGUGCAUGCAUGGUUUGGUGGUUAAUUACCUUCUUUUGUAGCUCAGAAAUGGAUUCCAUCAUAAGAUGGCUCUGCAAUACAUGUAUGUCAAAGUUAGUAAUUCACUGUAAAGAGAUUUUUCUGGGUACAUUUCUAAUGAAACAAAAUCAUUCCUAAAGUUAAUAGGUGGUUACACCUAUGCUUAGCCUUAAACUUUACCAAAUUGUAAAUUUAUAUACUCCAGAAAAUAAAAGACAUUGUUUUUGCAAAUAUAUGUGUUGGAACCACAUUUGCAGGAUAUUGGGCGGGGACAUGAUCAGAACUCCAUCACACUUAACUUAAGGAAGACAUUUCAGGUGGACUAUGUUGUACUGAAGUUGAGAAAAUAACAACCUUUCUUGAUCUGAUGUGCUUCAAUGAACUCUCCAGCUGCUGCUCAAGCUGUUGGAGCUCUUUGAGGUUCAGAGAAUCAAGAUCCUCUCCCAUGAGGUGCCUGCAGGAUAUAAUUAAGAGUUAGUUUAAAGAAUCAUCUUAAUCCAGCAGUGCAUACUACAAACUGAUAUGCCCGUUCAAAAGUUAUCCAGAAUCAAUCACUAUAGAAUAGUCAUUAUUACUUGUGACAUUUUUGUAUCGUCUCAAUCUUGGCCUUCAGUUUCCUGUAUUCGUGGCACCAGUUUCCCUGUACAGGACAAGUGUUUUCUGUCAGAAUGAAGCGACUAUAGGAAAUGGAUGUUCCUUUAAAUGGACUAAACAUGCUUUGCCACUGCAGGCAACUAUCACUAUCAUGAUGCUUGCUUAUACUAUAUGGAGUAUGUGUAUAGGUAGUAGGGAAACUGUAGAAAAACAGGGAACUGCUUAUGGAAAGUACAAACAAAGACUUCCAAAUUUUAUGAGGAGUUCAUGAUCCAUCUACCUGCUGUCACUCAAACUUGCGUUUUCAUCAUGUCUACAUUUUAUUACAUCAAAGAUGCUACAACCUUUUCGGAAAAAAAAAUUCAAAGAUGCUACAAGAACAGCUAGGCAUCCAGAUAAGAAGAAAAAUAUCAUAAAAUGCCCUUUCUGCUUAUACUAACCAAGUUUCUGUUGUUGAAGUGCAGGAAAACUUAAACGCUCCCAGAUAUUCAAUAUUGCAAAGCAGGGUCAUCAUACUAGUCCUAGGCCUUGUACACAAAGAAAUCAUCGCAUCAAUGUCUAUAACUAAUUUUACAAUACCCGUGCCGUGUUCAAUACACACAAGAAAAGGGAUAAUGAGAAAACUUGGCAUACUUAAUAAAUUUGGAUGAAGUGGAGAAACCAAUAUUUGAAAUGAGAAAAUAAAUACGUUGGCUACCAAUUGUUUUAUACCAUUGGUAUAACAAAGUAUUUGAGAAAGGUUAGGUUCAGCACAAACUCAUAUUGGGUAUAAACUGGCUUGGUAACUAACGACCCCAUUAUCCCUAAAAACAUUCAACAGUAACUCCACUCUUCGGAUCGUCAGUAGCAGGAAAAACCAAUGAUCAUAUAAACAUUUGAUAGAAGAAAACAUAAUUGUUAUAUUUAAGCUACUCCUAGCCCUACCCUUUCUAAUAAUGCUCAUGAGAUAUACUAGAAGAAAAUCUGGCACAAAUCAAUUUUAUUUUCUGCGAAGGUAAAAAACAUAAUGAAAAAUGGAUGCAAUGUUAUUCCCAGCUUAAAAGCAUGAAAGACGCACCUUAGUUUUAAAGUAGUAUUUUGGUACUACUUUUGUAAUUUAAGGGGCCUAAGAAUUAUAUGUUCGCAGACAAUUUUGAUGGAUUAAUUAACUAGUAGAAAAAUAUACACAUACAGUACUUAUUCAAUUGUAUUUGCAGUUUAAAAUAUGGUUAGACUGGUACGAUAUUAGAUCUCAAAGGGACAAAUAUUUUAGUUAACCAAAACUAAUGCAUCAUAUACAUUGUUGAGUGUGUGCAUCCCUUAGAUGCAAAGGCCAGGAGAUAUAAAAUUCUUCCUUUUUUCUAAAAAAGAAAAGACAUACAUCGUGGGCUAAAUAUACCAUACUAAGAUUUUCGCUAUGUAGAUUGAGAGGGAUUGUGUAGAUUGAGAAUACACAUGCCUUCAGCAAAAGACUUGUGAGAGAUCCAUCACCAAGACAUUGGUAUAUAAACAGAGUUGUUUGUGCAUCCAUGAUUUAUUUGCUCUUUUACAUUCUUCAUUUACCUAGGUUGGAGAACAUUUUUUUUUACCAGAUAGGUUGGAGAACUUAAUUACUAGAAAUGUGAAGAUGGUCGGUUUUCAAUACCAGGUUCAGCAAACCAUCUCGCAAAAAAGACCUAAAUCUAACCUAAUUAACCAAUCCUUGUAUCAGGAGUGGCAUGUUGGAAACAAAUAUAUAAGCAAAUAUAUUUGUUUCCAACAUGCAGCAACAAAAAUGCAUUUGUCAAAUGCUUUUUGUGUGUGAAGGACACGAGUUAAAAUGGUUGGUAGCACUGGAGCAAGUAAUUAUCAAAUAAAAAAAUGCAGAAUGUAAGGUUGUCAUAAUAUAAUUUCAAAAGGUUUAAUUAUUUAGAACUAACCCCCUGAUUAAAAAAUGCAGCAACAAAAAGCAUUUGUCAAAUGCUUUUUGUGUGUGAAGGACACGAGUUAAAAUGGUUGGUAGCACUGGAGCAAGUAAUUAUCAAAUAAAAAAAUGCAGCAACAAAAAGAUUCAUAUAUGCUUUUUGUGUGAAGGAAUUCACACAAGUUAAAAUGGAUGUGCAAUAGAAAUGGAGCAAUAAAUUAUCGGAUUAAAAAAUGUAGCAACAAAGUGAUCCAUAUAUGCUUUUAGUGUGAAGGAAUUCACACGACUUAAAAUGGUUGUGCAAUAGAAAUGUAGCAAUUAAUUAAUUAAUCUCCUCAAAUCAAAAUGUAUGAAAACAGCAAGAAUCAUCCUAAUAAUUAUAGGAAGAACAGGUAAAUCACAACAAAUUUUAUACCUCGCUUUCAGAUUCAGCUGAAAUAAGAGCCUUUUCAGCAUACGAGUAGCGCUCGUAACGUUCAAGAAUCUUGUCCAUGCUGCAGAAAAACUCACACCAUGUCAGUUCUUGCUAAUUCACGGAAUUCAGCACGAUCAACUAACUCAGAUUAGCAUCCUUUUUUUCAAAAAAACAAUUGCCAAGAAACAGUAGGUAUGCCAAGCUGUUACAUUUCCAAGAAAAAUGCAAUGUAUGAACUAGGUUCUCACAAGAAAGUGAAAAACAAUGCCACUAUGAUAAAACCCUGGCAAUGGAAAUUCAGAAGUUUGAAAUGAAAUACUGAUCUGAAGUUUACUGUUUGGACUGGCAGUGUUCCUUUCACUGUUCAGAGUGUAAUAAUAUAAACCUUGGUUUUCCUCUGAAAGCAGCAUGCAUAGCGAGGUUAUAUGUUAAGAGCAUUGUGUGACCUAUCUUCAAGAAAUAAGUAAUGACGUUUAUAUACAGAACCAUGAUCUAUAUAUCUUAGAAAACAUAGCACACAUGUGAUACCAAGGUUUACACAUCGAGCCAUUUCAGAACAUGCAGGAUGCAUGGAAAGCUAGCUGUGACAGCAGUAUCUUAGGAACCGGCCGGGGGGUCGUGUAUCUAAUUGACUGAACAAAUUGUUGAGUAUCGAUCCAAACUCAUAGAGCUGGCCACCACACCACAUAUGUAUCUUUCGAACCACAUACAUAGCGAGGUCAAUCCUAUAUAUAGUUCAUAGUUGCCAUUGACAUCAUGUCCUUGCAGUUCCAAACAUGAAGAACAUGCUCUUGAUUUGUACGUACGGACAUAAAUACGGAUAAAUAUGUGCAAAGAGCAGAUUAAUUAAACUCGCACACCAUGUUCAAGUGUUCAACCUCUAUCCACACAUGAAAGUAACACAUGUAUGCAUGGCAAUUUGUUUAAUUCCAAAAAAGAAAAUUAGGCAUGUCGACUGUUGAGUCAAUGGUCAAUGCAUGCAGCCUCUCUUUAUCUGAGCCAGAGGUAGAGUGAAAUGUUGGCUAGUUCCUGAAGCCUGAUCAGCCUGUAGCACUCAAAGCCUUGUAUAUAGACCAUGCAUGCAUGGACAUAUGUAUCUAUUGGGCAAGUAUAUAGUAUAAUACAAGUCCAGUCGUUGGUACCUACGAGUGUACUACUACCUCCACAACACACAGCUAGCUAGCUGAUGUACAUACAUAGCAAUAGUAGCAUGCAGUGAGAGAUCCAUGCGUAUACUGCGCAAGAUCCGCCGGCCAUAUUUGCGACCUAUAACUAGCAAAACACAGCCAGCUAGCUAAGUACACCGUACAUACAUGCAUACGUACAUGCAACUUUAUUUAUUAGAUUGACCGACAGAGAUACUGCAUGCCUGAGCUGGGCUGGUCAUUUCUGGACCAAACAAAUCUGACCAAGCUAGCCAAGAUUUUAUUAUUAACAACUAAGCAAAGAGGAAAAGAAACCAAGAAAAGGGAGGAAAAGAAGAGGAAGAGUCAGAUCCAUGGCAGUGUUAAGUGUAGUUGAUGCAAAACGUACGUUGUGAUGUGCCAUGCAUAAAAAAAGGGGCAGAAAUCUCACAUCUUUUGAGGAGAAGACGAAAGAAGAAGAAGAAGACGACGACGAGAGGAGCAAUUAACCAAGAAGUUGCUACAUGCAUAUAUGCGCGUGUCGAUCACUGGUGGACACUCGCUAGCUAGCUCCUCGGAACCUGUGAUUAUUAUUAAUAGCGUGCUAGUUGUUUAUACUUAAGUUAUCAAAUUUUGGGAAGUGCAAAACGCUCUUUACGCAUGCAUGUGAUUUCGAUCUAAGUACUAGUACUACUACUAGAAAUAAAAUACUCCUUUUGAAUGGAGUACAAUGGAUCGAGUGUGAAGAACGAAUAGGUGGAUGAAGAAAUGAAGCAAGACAAAGAUACUAUAGUACGGAAUACUAUUGUUAUCGUCGGAUGAACUAAUUGCAUAAUCUAAUCUAAUCUAAUCUGAUCUGACCUCAUGUGGUCACUCACAUGGCUUGCACGAGCGAGCUAGCAGCAGCAGCAGCUAUACAUGGGUGAAUUGAAAGAAUUAAAGAAAGGCGCCCGUGGAUCCCCAAAAUGGAAAGGAUCGGUUCCAGCUUCCAAGCCCUGCCUCCAGGCAAGAUGUAGAACGCAAAAGGCAAAAAAGCAGGCACGAGAAAGGAAAGGGAAGGGAAGGAAAAUUGCAGCAGGCAAGAAAAAAAAUAUCAAAAAUUUAUUUCCCAAAACAAGCAGGCACCAACUGCGGCAGCAUAAAAUCAUCAGCUGUAGCACUCCACAUAUGGCCACCAAGAACAGACGGUCGAUGAAUGGAGCUAGCACACGGCAUCCGUACACGCAUGGAUUGGGACCGGAAGUGGCAAAUUAGGACAGGCAGGAAGCCAGGAACGGCAAAGGGGUAGAGAACCAUGCCCAUGUAUGUAUCUGCUGUGUGAUUCAGCAGCAGCAGCAGGAGCAGGAAGAAGAAGAUGAAGAAUAAGAGGAAAUUAAAGAUACGGGGAUGCAUGAUGUGCCAUGGAUAUACAUGGAGAUAGAGAUGGGGAUCGAGACGGAGAUAUGAUAUGAUAUACCUGGAGUCGGUGGCGUACUCGUAGAGCUUGCCCUUGGGGGAGAAGACGACGACGGCGACCUCGGCGUCGCAGAGGACGGAGAUCUCGUGCGCCUUCUUGAGGAGCCCAUUCCGGCGCUUGCUGAAGGUCACCUGCCGGUUUAUCUUGUUCUCUAUCCUCUUCAGCUGCACCUUCCCGCGCCCCAUCCUCCCUCCAAUUCCUCCUCCUCCUCGAUCUAGCUACCGCUACGGCGCACACGGCGGCCGGAGUUGGGGUGGAUGAAAUCGGCCGCCGGUGAUUGAGAUGGGAACGGAAAGCUCGCAGCUUUAAAGAGGAAGGAAGGAAGGAAGGGGAGGAGACGGACGGAUGGAUGGCCGGGCCGGCGGUGUAAUUGGAUUUGGGGGAAGGCAGCAGAGCCGGAGCCAAUGCGAUCGAGAGAGUGCAGUGUGGUUUAGAGGGGGGCAGGAUGCUGUCGAGCGCCUAUUGGCUGAGAGGACAGACCGGUGGGCCCGGUUGCUCAGUGUCUCUCUCUCUCUUGCUGCUCCAGUGCCAUGUGUGAUGUGUCUGCGCCACCUCGUACGGUCGAACCCAUACUCUCUCUGCCUUUUUCUUUAAUUUCUUUGAUUUUUUCCUUCGUAAAAAAAUCGUAUGGGGCUCUGGAGGUGUGUCUUUGCCUCCUUGGCUCAUCUUCCUGCCCCCUAGACAGCUGGGACCUGCCUCCUUGAGAGACAAUUUUCGCCCUUUUCUUAUAGAUAGAAGAAGAAGAACAGGGAGUACAUACAUAAACAUACGUAUACGAUGGUGUAUACGAUGAAUAUCUUACGAUUUUGAAUGCUUUGUGUACGUACAACAUCGUACCUCCAACUUGUGGUGGGAUAACGUAUAAUUCCGCCGAUGAGUCCGCCACCGCCGACUGGUCCGACCUCCUCGAGGACGCCGCGCAGAUCAGGCCUUGUCGUCCUCCUCCUCGACGGCACCCACCACACUCACACACCAUCUCCAGCGCCGUCGGAUCCUGAGCGUACCAUCACCGCCGACCGGGUCUUCGAUGGAGGGCGGCAGCGGCGGAUCGGUGUAUGUAGGUUCUGGAUAGGGACGAGGAUGCCCUAGGUAUUAUGAAUCUGAUUUGGCCUAGGUAGAUGCCCGAGAUAAGGAUUCUCUGUACCAAAAACUGCAUAAUCGAGUGUUGCAUUUGGCGCGACAGCACGAGAAGAAAACGGCUCCCCAAAGUGCAUAGCAUUUUCAAAACAUACACAAGUAAUAUUUUUGCAUCUUAGAGAAAAUAGUGCUCAAAAUAACCAUUUCACUAAGCACUAAAUUGUACAGUAGUAUUCCUUCCGAUACAUAACAAGUGUCUCAUACUCCGUACAAAUUUGACUUAGUAUGGAUCGGAGAGAGUAGUCAGAAAUACUUUUUCAAUGGGUUUCACUAUUGACCCACAGAAAAUAUCAAAAUCAAUAACACCCCCCGCCCCCCCCCCCCCCCCCGUUUCGGUAUACUUCUCCCUUAGAACAUGGUAUGUGCUGGCAAAUGUUUCAGUAUUAAUCCACAGAAAAACAAUACCAAGAAUAUUGGCAAGAUCAAAUUUUUUUGCGCAAAAGAUCAAAUUGAUACUAGUACUUGGUUACUGCCAUAUUUGAAGAUAAUCAUUACUAGGCAAAUAUAUGUCGAAAAGAGUAAUGAUUAUUGUUGGGCAAAAAGCAUCUCCAAAUCACGAUCGACCUCCAUAUUUGAAGAGCCUCCACAUUAUUCUCAUCGUCUAUAUUUGGCUACUGCAUGCCCGAGAGCAGCCAGUUAAAAUUCAGAUAGUGAAACGUACAUAGAAGGUGAAAUAUGAACAAAUAUGGAUUUAUUCUUAAAGAUGCUAGUCAACUUUGGUAGUCAAAUGUUUAGUAUGUGAAAAUAUGGCUAGUACAUGGUAUCGCUAAUUAAGCGGCGUGCUGCGUGCGUGCAGUCCCAGGUCGACAGCGCGGCGGCACCAUUUCUCGAUGUGUUGCACGUCAGAUUCACGCCUACAGUUGCCGCGUACCACAAAAACAUAUAAUCACAUGUCUUUAUUUAUUUUUCUGCUCUCUGGCUGGCUGCCCAGUACAAUACAUCCCCAUCCGUAUCGAUCCUAGCUCGCUAUUGGAGACUACUAUAGUAUUUCACUAGCAUCAAAACGUGACAAAUUGAUAUAUACGUGUGUGUAUAUUAAUUUCCUGGAAAGAAAAUGCUCAACCCGUCUCUAAAUAUUUAGGAAAUGCAACUCUUUAAUUUUAGCCCCCUCACAUUUCCAAUAUAAUCCAUUUUAGCUGAUGAGGUAGUGGCCUCGAAGAUCACACCCCUUCUUUAAUUUUAGCAAAAGGAGCAUGCAGUACACGCGUACUCUUUUUAGCCAAGACUCGGCUUGAGGUACUACAAUUACUAGCCAGUACGUGUACCAGUGACGUGCAUAUACAAAAGCAUGAACUCCUAUGCAUAUAUGGGCAUUGAUGGAGAGAAAUCUUGCCACAAACAAGAGGAGACAAUGCACGAAAUUUGAUAUGUUAUAGAAUGGACCGGGAGGGACGACGUGGAUGGACUGAUGGACACCAAAGGAGGCCUUGAUCGAGACUGGACAACAUAUACAUGUACAGACACACACAUAUAUGUGUGUGUGGUGCUCAGCUGGCUAGUCAUCACUCAAAAAUGACCAAACCUACCAACCUAGGUGCUAUAUACAUAUAUGCUAGCAUGCAUCGCACAUAUGUAUAUAGUUCGGGGAACUUUUCUCAUCAGACAGAGAAGAAGUUUUGCAAAACUAAAGUGAGGCAACAAAUUUACUGAUACAAAAAAAUUAGUGUUUUUUUUACACAAGUCGCAAAACUAUCUUUCUGAGACUUGUAAUUAAUGAUUGGCAGACUUGCAUUGGUUGCACUUACUGGACAGUUGGAACCGUUUUUUUGCGCAAAGGGCAGUUAGAACCCGAGACCGAGAGGCUUGAAAUCAAGUGAGGCGGUUUUCACCCAUGGCGUCUGCAGCGGGAUCAUUGUUACUAAACAAGUUUCUAUCGUCCGUAGGAGUUGGAAAAUGAUAUUAUGAUUAUGAAAAAAAAAUGGAGAAAGAAUUUUCGCAAAAAAAAUACGGUUCUCUUGUCCGUUUUCUCCUAUAUUAAGGUUAUUCAAAGUUUGGUUUAUUAAUUCUUCGAUCAAUCUUACGUACUCUACUAUAUUAUAUCGCACCGGCGGAUCCAUGUUGUGUUUUGCGCCGCUGUGGGUUAUGAUAUUAAUCUAGUCUUUUCAACCAGCUUUUACCUAUUGAAUGAUCAUUUGGCUAGCCAUUUUUCAAAUUAAUUUGUGACUAGUAUUUCGUCGUAAUAGAUUAUCAAAUAAGUUUAUAGCAUAGAACAUUGUUUGCUUAUUCAGCAACACCAAACUGAUCCUGAAAUGAUGAUAAAUAUAAUAUGUACAAUGGGUAAUGAGGUUGGUUGAGUAAAUUAGUCUCAUCUCUCAUUAAUUAGAAUAUAUAGCAUCAGCUUAAUUAAGCACAUCAUCGCGUUUCUAUGCUCAACUCGAGAUAGCAUAGUAAAUCAUCACGUUUCAUUGACUAAUUUAAGCACUUGAUGGUAACACAUUGUUCAUUUGAAAUCAAAUUAAUAGGGUACGUACAGAGAACCUGGGCCCAUGUGAUUAAUUGAGGAGACGAUAUUGACGGGGUUGUGUGGUGCAGAUGGAUGAUCUAAUUGUGAGGUUGUUAUCACCCACUAAUGGAAGAGUAGACGGCUUUCUUUUCUAGGGACAGCGAUUCAACAGAUGAAGAAUCCACCAAGUUGCUGUGCAAAUCUGGGAGAGGCGCUCCAGACGGGACAGGCAAAUUUCUUGGUCACAAUAUAACAAGAUAGUAAUUCCUGCAUAUUUUAGAUGUGAACCUUCGACACGCAACUUGCUUGAUUUUACUAAUUUUUCCGUUAAAUCUCUUUUCUAUAUAUGUUUUUUCCCGAAAAGAAUGGUUAACACCUCCGACCUCCGCAUCAUUAUUAGCAAAAAGUGUGCAUACCAAUCAUCAAGGAUAGAGAAAUUUUCUGCAAAAGAGAAAAACAAGUUAUACAAGGUCGAGUACAUGUUUUGCAAGACGUAGGUACCUCGUCUAUUUCGGAAUUAUUGGGUGCAAUGGUAAUACUGUACAAUAAUUAAUGGAUAAGAACUGCAGUACGUAAACAGGGAUAAGAAAUCCCUGGAGAUUCUUUGCGAGGCCCCUCCUAAAAUUACCAUCCUGCUUUGAUGCGAAAUGUUUGUUUUUCUACUCUGGCAAUGCACUUUUGUUGAUGUUUUUCUAUAUAUACUGAGCUAGGCCACACCGUUAUGAAAGGAUUGACCUUUUUUUUUCCAGGACGCAGGCAGUCGGAAGGAGUUCCCUGCAUUUUUAUCACAUACAAAGAGAGCUACCCCAACUAAUUCGGAAAAUCCGGGUGAAAACCAGAUAGUACUAUUUGAUUUUCACUCGGCGACAAUUAUACAAGUGCUGUGGAUAUAUAAAGGGCACGAAAACUUAAAACAAAACCGCGUUCCAUCAAACCGUAUUAAUCCACAGAAUUGAACCACAGAAUUAUGUGGGAGGGAGGUGGGGGGCGAGGGGUGAAAGGGGGAACUUGUGUCUUGGUAGGAAUCAAAGGCAUUCUUGGUCAUGUCUCCAUGGGAGAGACCAUGACCCAUGUGCGUGAGAUAUGAUCCAUCGACGCGUCUCUUCCUCGUACGGUCGAACGAACCGCAUAUCACAAAAGCAAUCCCCCCCCUCUCUCUCUGCAGCACGUCCUUGAUUUUUUCUUCUUCUCUUGUAUGCUGCCAGGCCAGCAGGGCACGAAGAUCGAUGCGGGUGAAUAUAAAGAUCUGGCCGGCAGGUGUUGCAUGGUUUGUUUACUGCAUAUAUAUAUCUAUGCAGUGCGCGGGCGGCAGGCGUACGCUGCAGCGGGAGCUCGACACACAUCCAAUGCAACGUACGCUGUGUAGGUGACCCCUGUUGCACUCCAGAGUCCAGACUGCUGCAGGCAUCUUAAUUAACAGUCAAACCUCUCAGGCCCCAGCUAGAGCUCCGUCGUUGGCUGCUCCUGCUAGAUCUUCCCAGAUCGAGACCAGGGAGAACAAGGUUUUUUUCUUUUUGGCUAGAAGGGAGCAAGAUUGAUCAAGUACAAUAAUUCGAUAAGGGUGGUUGAUGCCAAGUUACUAUAAGAUUAUAUUUUGCUUGGUUGAAGAAGAUAGAAGAGAAAAGGAUCUGGUAUCGCAACUAAUUUUCUUGCGAUCCACUCUCCCGCAUUCCGCCGGUACAAACCUAAUAUAUCUGACAAGCACAUGCGCUCGGAUCAAUACACUAAAUGUAAAUAAAAUAUUGUGGGUGCAUGACUCGACCCACUAGGGUUCAAAUCCUGGUGCUCACGAUUACUCAAAAAUAAAAUCAGGGUGCUCCCUUUUUUCCGAAAUAAAUAAAUUAAUGUGCAUAAAACGUCAAUUUUAUGUCUAUCAUAUGCGUACUGUGCGUGACGAUAAGAUGAGACGUGUUGAUCGAUCUCAGCCGCACGCACAGAGCUAUAGCUAGCUAGCUUUCUUGGGACAGCGAUGGAAAACUGCGAGCUAGUCAAUUAAGUUGCUGUGUUGCAGAUCUAGUUGGAUUAACACAAUUAUCUUAGCCCGAAAUGUGGAUGGAAAUGCCUGCAACGCUGUCGAUCGUUGCAUGCAGCAACGGUGCUGCAAGCUAGAGCUAGAUUUGUCUGAAGAGAGACAAGACUAGUACUGCAUGAUCAUCCACGAAAAAAUGGCUACAUAUAUAAUUAUUUUUUAUUAAUUAAUUCUCGAGCGUAUGUUCAUAUGUACUGUGUUUUAAAAAGACAUAACUAGUCAGGGUUUCAAAGUAAUUUAACUAGUCAGGGUUUCAAAGUAAUUCUGACCAGACCCAUUUUUGUCCAAAACAUCGACCUCUUGUGAACUGAUGGAAGGUAGUAUGUUUUGGAUGCACUCAAAAAAGGGGAAAGAGAAGGAGUAUGUUUGGCUAAAAUUAAUUCCAAAGGUCUCUCUCGGUGAAGCAGGGAAUGGCUCCACAUGUACCUUCCUAGCUUUGUGGUGAUAAGAUUGGAUUCCGACAAUGCACGAACUAUAGAUGGAUUCCCUACGUACACACACCACCAACUAUAUAUUCCCCUUUUUUUUCCUUUUCUUUUGCCAAAUUAUCUAUGUAUCUCCUCCCACUUCACAUAACUUAAAAGACAUGAGACUCGGCUAACCGAUGGAAUGGAAUGAAUUUCGCAAGAUUCUACAUGAACAACUGAGCGUAUGUGUAUGCUCUCUUUCUAGUCUUAAAAAACAUAUGUGACAUAGUGUUGGUGAAAGUAAUUUUUUAAAAUUUUCCUAGCAAUAUUUUGUUUCGACCAGUCAAUAUAAUACGUAUGUAGAUUUAUUUUGAUAAAACAAUUUCAUGUAUAAUAACUGUGUUCAUGUCAAAAUUAUUAUCAUAUACAGAAAAAAAAUUAACUGCCAAUAUCUGGGAUUGAUAUAAAGUUUUCCAAGAGUAGAGGGAGUAAUUCUUGCGUUCCAAUAUCGUAACUGUGAGAUUCCUUCGCGGAGACAAAUCCGAGAUAUGAUUCGCGAACCCUAAUCGCAAAAAUGCCGCCUAACAGUAUGAUAUUCCUGGAUAACAGCCCGGACUGCACUGCACCCCAAGAUAGAUGGACCGAUGGAGAUAUUUGACAGUACCAAACUAAGUUAUCCUUGUAGCUAGCUAGGUACGUACGUAUAAAUAUUCUUCCUUUUUUCAGCCAUGCUUUUUGUUAAUUAUCCGAUUCAUGUUGCCCAGCCAGCUAGAAAGCAAAGGGAGAGAGCAC